CACGUGUGAGCGCCCCACGGGCUUCCUCAGCUGGCUGAGGUCACCGGAUGACCCCGAGGGCACACUAACUCAAAAUGUGGUCUUCGUAUUUUUUUUUAAAUUUCUGCCCAACAUCAAUGGAGUGAAGCUAAAGGAACAAAGCAACAAAAACAAAAAACAAACUAAAAUAAUCCCCAAACCAAAAACAACUGCCUUUGAAAGCUCCAAGCCAUGGAGGAUGUGAAUGCUAGAAUUUACUUCUCAGGCAACCAUUGCUUAAUCCAAGGUCACAAAGAUCAACUCAAUUACAAAAGCAAAUCAAUAGAAGAAAAGUAGCCUUUUCAACAAAUGGUGCUAAAGUAACACACAUAGGCUGAAAAAUGAACCUUGACCUAAGUUCACACCACAUAAAGAAUGAUCUCAGGAGCCAAGAUGGCUGCGUGAG